UGCGUAGGCGGGCAAUUAAGUCAGAGGUGAAAUCCCACAGCUCAACUGUGGAACUGCCUUUGAUACUAGUUGUCUUGAGUUACAGUGAAGUAGAUAGAAUAUGUAGUGUAGCGGUGAAAUGCAUAGAUAUUACAUAGAAUACCGAUUGCGAAGGCAGUCUACUAACUGUAUACUGACGCUAAUGGACGAAAGCGUGAGGAGCGAACAGGAUUAGAUACCCUGGUAGUCC
rnacentral:rRNA from 1 species